GCGGAUGUGCAUGAGAUCAUGUAUCUAUAAAAUUUCAUGAGAUCAUGUUACAUCCGACU
rnacentral:pre_miRNA from 1 species